rnacentral:rRNA from 1 species
AUUGAACGCUGGCGGCAGGCCUAACACAUGCAAGUCGAGCGGAGCGGCGGACGGGUGAGUAAUUCCUAGGAAUCUACCUGGUAGUGGGGGAUAACGUCAGGAAACGGGCGCUAGUCCCGCAUCCUAUCAGAUGGGCCUAGGUCGGAUUAGCUAGUUGGUGGGGUAAGGGCCUACCAAGGUGACGGGCCGUAACUGGUCUGAGAGGAUGAUCAGUCACACGGGAAAUGAGACACGGUCCAGACUCCUACGGGAGACAGCAGUGGGGAAUAUUGGACAAUGGGCGAAAGCCUGAUGCAGCCAUGCCGCGUGCGUGAAGAAGGUCUUCGGAUUGUAAAGCACUUUAAGUUGGGAGGCGUUACCAACAGAAGAAGCACCGGCUAACUUCGUGCCAGCAGCCGCGGUAAUUC